rnacentral:rRNA from 1 species
UACGGAGGGUGCAAGCGUUAUCCGGAUUUACUGGGUUUAAAGGGUGCGUAGGUGGGUUGGUAAGUCAGUGGUGAAAUACUUUCGCUUAACGAAGGAACUGCCAUUGAUACUAUCAAUCUUGAAUGUAGUGGAGGUAGGCGGAAUGCGUCAUGUAGCGGUGAAAUGCUUAGAUAUGACGCAGAACACCAAUUGCGAAGGCAGCUUGCUACACUACUAUUGACACUGAGGCACGAAAGCGUGGGGAUCAAACAGG